GGUUAAGCGACUAAGCGUACACGGUGGAUGCCCUGGCAGUCAGAGGCGAUGAAGGACGUGCUAAUCUGCGAUAAGCGUCGGUAAGGUGAUAUGAACCGUUAUAACCGGCGAUUUCCGAAUGGGGAAACCCAGUGUGAUUCGUCACACUAUCAUUAACUGAAUCCAUAGGUUAAUGAGGCGAACCGGGGGAACUGAAACAUCUAAGUACCCCGAGGAAAAGAAAUCAACCGAGAUUCCCCCAGUAGCGGCGAGCGAACGGGGAGCAGCCCAGAGCCUGAAUCAGUGUGUGUGUUAGUGGAAGCGUCUGGAAAGGCGUGCGAUACAGGGUGACAGCCCCGUACACAAAAAUGCACAUACUGUGAGCUCGAUGAGUAGGGCGGGACACGUGGUAUCCUGUCUGAAUAUGGGGGGACCAUCCUCCAAGGCUAAAUACUCCUGACUGACCGAUAGUGAACCAGUACCGUGAGGGAAAGGCGAAAAGAACCCCGGCGAGGGGAGUGAAAAAGAACCUGAAACCGUGUACGUACAAGCAGUGGGAGCACAGAGCAAUCUGUGUGACUGCGUACCUUUUGUAUAAUGGGUCAGCGACUUAUAUUCUGUAGCAAGGUUAACCGAAUAGGGGAGCCGAAGGGAAACCGAGUCUUAACUGGGCGUUAAGUUGCAGGGUAUAGACCCGAAACCCGGUGAUCUAGCCAUGGGCAGGUUGAAGGUUGGGUAACACUAACUGGAGGACCGAACCGACUAAUGUUGAAAAAUUAGCGGAUGACUUGUGGCUGGGGGUGAAAGGCCAAUCAAACCGGGAGAUAGCUGGUUCUCCCCGAAAGCUAUUUAGGUAGCGCCUCGUGAAUUCAUCUCCGGGGGUAGAGCACUGUUUCGGCAAGGGGGUCAUCCCGACUUACCAACCCGAUGCAAACUGCGAAUACCGGAGAAUGUUAUCACGGGAGACACACGGCGGGUGCUAACGUCCGUCGUGAAGAGGGAAACAACCCAGACCGCCAGCUAAGGUCCCAAAGUCAUGGUUAAGUGGGAAACGAUGUGGGAAGGCCCAGACAGCCAGGAUGUUGGCUUAGAAGCAGCCAUCAUUUAAAGAAAGCGUAAUAGCUCACUGGUCGAGUCGGCCUGCGCGGAAGAUGUAACGGGGCUAAACCAUGCACCGAAGCUGCGGCAGCGACGCUUAUGCGUUGUUGGGUAGGGGAGCGUUCUGUAAGCCUGCGAAGGUGUGCUGUGAGGCAUGCUGGAGGUAUCAGAAGUGCGAAUGCUGACAUAAGUAACGAUAAAGCGGGUGAAAAGCCCGCUCGCCGGAAGACCAAGGGUUCCUGUCCAACGUUAAUCGGGGCAGGGUGAGUCGACCCCUAAGGCGAGGCCGAAAGGCGUAGUCGAUGGGAAACAGGUUAAUAUUCCUGUACUUGGUGUUACUGCGAAGGGGGGACGGAGAAGGCUAUGUUGGCCGGGCGACGGUUGUCCCGGUUUAAGCGUGUAGGCUGGUUUUCCAGGCAAAUCCGGAAAAUCAAGGCUGAGGCGUGAUGACGAGGCACUACGGUGCUGAAGCAACAAAUGCCCUGCUUCCAGGAAAAGCCUCUAAGCAUCAGGUAACAUCAAAUCGUACCCCAAACCGACACAGGUGGUCAGGUAGAGAAUACCAAGGCGCUUGAGAGAACUCGGGUGAAGGAACUAGGCAAAAUGGUGCCGUAACUUCGGGAGAAGGCACGCUGAUAUGUAGGUGAAGUCCCUCGCGGAUGGAGCUGAAAUCAGUCGAAGAUACCAGCUGGCUGCAACUGUUUAUUAAAAACACAGCACUGUGCAAACACGAAAGUGGACGUAUACGGUGUGACGCCUGCCCGGUGCCGGAAGGUUAAUUGAUGGGGUUAGCGCAAGCGAAGCUCUUGAUCGAAGCCCCGGUAAACGGCGGCCGUAACUAUAACGGUCCUAAGGUAGCGAAAUUCCUUGUCGGGUAAGUUCCGACCUGCACGAAUGGCGUAAUGAUGGCCAGGCUGUCUCCACCCGAGACUCAGUGAAAUUGAACUCGCUGUGAAGAUGCAGUGUACCCGCGGCAAGACGGAAAGACCCCGUGAACCUUUACUAUAGCUUGACACUGAACAUUGAGCCUUGAUGUGUAGGAUAGGUGGGAGGCUUUGAAGUGUGGACGCCAGUCUGCAUGGAGCCGACCUUGAAAUACCACCCUUUAAUGUUUGAUGUUCUAACGUUGACCCGUAAUCCGGGUUGCGGACAGUGUCUGGUGGGUAGUUUGACUGGGGCGGUCUCCUCCUAAAGAGUAACGGAGGAGCACGAAGGUUGGCUAAUCCUGGUCGGACAUCAGGAGGUUAGUGCAAUGGCAUAAGCCAGCUUGACUGCGAGCGUGACGGCGCGAGCAGGUGCGAAAGCAGGUCAUAGUGAUCCGGUGGUUCUGAAUGGAAGGGCCAUCGCUCAACGGAUAAAAGGUACUCCGGGGAUAACAGGCUGAUACCGCCCAAGAGUUCAUAUCGACGGCGGUGUUUGGCACCUCGAUGUCGGCUCAUCACAUCCUGGGGCUGAAGUAGGUCCCAAGGGUAUGGCUGUUCGCCAUUUAAAGUGGUACGCGAGCUGGGUUUAGAACGUCGUGAGACAGUUCGGUCCCUAUCUGCCGUGGGCGCUGGAGAACUGAGGGGGGCUGCUCCUAGUACGAGAGGACCGGAGUGGACGCAUCACUGGUGUUCGGGUUGUCAUGCCAAUGGCACUGCCCGGUAGCUAAAUGCGGAAGAGAUAAGUGCUGAAAGCAUCUAAGCACGAAACUUGCCCCGAGAUGAGUUCUCCCUGACUCCUUGAGAGUCCUGAAGGAACGUUGAAGACGACGACGUUGAUAGGCCGGGUGUGUAAGCGCAGCGAUGCGUUGAGCUAACCGGUACUAAUGAACCGUGAGGCUUAACCUU
rnacentral:rRNA from 1 species